rnacentral:rRNA from 1 species
GCAAAGGAUAGACAGCGCCCGCGGAGCCUUGCUCCCUGGGGCUACCCUACUUCGGUAAGGUUUAGAGUCGUCGGGCCUCUCGAAGAAGCUCGGUCCUGAACUCCACCCUUGAAUAAAUUACCUUUGUUGCUUUGGCGGGCCGCCUCGUGCCAGCGGCUUCGGCUGUUGCGUGCCCGCCAGAGGACCACAACUCUUGUUUUUAGUGAUGUCUGAGUACUAUAUAAUAGUUAAAACUUUCAACAACGGAUCUCUUGGUUCUGGCAUCGAUGAGGAACGCAGCGAAAUGCGAUAAGUAAUGUGAAUUGCAGAAUUCAGUGAAUCAUCGAAUCUUUGAACGCACAUUGCGCCCUCUGGUAUUCCGGGGGGCAUGCCUGUUCGAGCGUCAUUAUAACCACUCAAGCUCUCGCUUGGUAUUGGGGUUCGCGAUCUCGCGGCCCCUAAAAUCAGUGGCGGUGCCUGUCGGCUCUACGCGUAGUAAUACUCCUCGCGAUUGAGUCCGGUAGGUUUACUUGCCAGCAACCCCUAAUUUUUACAGGUUGACCUCGGAUCAGGUAGGGAUACCCGCUGAACUUAAG